AACCGCAGCCUCGGUCUCGCGGCUCCAGCCCCUCGCCCGCCCCGCCCCGGCUGCUGCAAAGCGUCUGGAACUGCAUCCUCCGCAUUCACAUCCGCAUCCCCGUCCUCCCGCGACUAAGUCCAGCAGCAGCUGCCGUUGGAACUGCCAGAGGAGGACCACCAUCCACCAUGGUGAAGUUGGGCUGCAGCUUCUCUGGGAAGCCAGGCAAAGACCCAGCAGACCAAGAUGGGGCUUCCACGGACAGUGUUCCUCUGAUCAGCCCCCUGGAUGUCAGCCAGCUGCAGCCACCAUUUCCUGACCAGGUGGUCAUCAAGACACAGACUGAAUACCAGCUGUCCUCCCCAGACCAGUCAAAGAAGUUCCCAGACCUGGAGGGGCAGAAGCUGAACUGCAAUCACCCAGAGGAAGGGCGAAGGCUGCCCACAGCCAGGAUGAUUGCCUUCGCCAUGGCGCUCAUGGGCUGUGUACUCAUCAUGUACAAGGCCAUCUGGUAUGACCAGUUCACCUGCCCCGAUGGCUUCCUGCUUCGGCACAAGAUCUGCACACCACUGACCCUGGAGAUGUAUUACACGGAGAUGGACCCGGAACGUCACCGCAGCAUCCUGGCGGCCAUCGGGGCCUACCCCCUGAGCCGCAAGCAUGGCACCGAGAUGCCCGCAGUUUGGGGGGACAGCUACCGUGCCACCAAGGAAGCACACAAGGGGCCCACCCAGGCUGGGGCUGCUGCUGUGGUGGCCACAGAGCAGCCCAGGAAGCCCACUGAGAAGGCCGACAAGGAAGAGGUGCAGAAAGUGACAGCCAGCGCGCCACCACUGGCCCCUCAGUGACCACAGUGAGCCCUGCCCACCCAACCAGGGUACGUGUGUCCAACACUGAGGCCUCUCUGGGCCUCCCUGCUGCCUUUUCUGAGCCAGGGGUCCUCUCCUUGCCAUUUCCUACCCGGGACUUCGAGUCUAAAACAUUACGCAGGUGCUUGUCCUCCAACACUGCCACCCCACCUCGAGCACUUAUGAGGAUGCAGGGGCGGCGUCCCGUGCCAGCUCCUGUGACUAUCGAGCGAGUCACCUGAUGCUCUCCUACCUUGUGUUUGUGCCCCUCCCCCAGACACCUCACUGAAGCCCCCGCUGCUGGUGAGCUUCUAGCUUUGUUGCUUUUCUGUAAGUAAAAACUCAAGUCUACCUGGA